rnacentral:rRNA from 1 species
CGGAGGGUGCAAGCGUUAUCCGGAUUCACUGGGUUUAAAGGGUGCGUAGGCGGGCAUGUAAGUCCGUGGUGAAAUCUCCGAGCUUAACUCGGAAACUGCCAUGGAUACUAUGUGUCUUGAAUGUUGUGGAGGUGAGCGGAAUAUGUCAUGUAGCGGUGAAAUGCUUAGAUAUGACAUAGAACACCAAUUGCGAAGGCAGCUCACUACACAAAUAUUGACGCUGAGGCGCGAAAGCGUGGGGAUCAAACAGGACUAGAUACCCUGGUAGUCCACGCCCUAAACGAUGAUUACUCGACAUACGUGAUACACAAUAGUGUAGUCUGAGCCGAAAGCAUUAAGUAAUCCACCUGGGAAGUACGACCGCAAGGUUG